rnacentral:rRNA from 1 species
UACGUAGGGGGCGAGCGUUGUCCGGAUUUAUUGGGCGUAGAGAGCUCGUAGGCGGUUUGGUAAGUCGGGUGUGAAAUCUCCACGCUCAACGUGGAGGGGCCACUCGAUACUGCCAUGACUCGAGUCCGGUAGAGGAGUGUGGAAUUCCCGGUGUAGCGGUGAAAUGCGCAGAUAUCGGGAGGAACACCAGUGGCGAAGGCGGCUCACUGGCCCGAUACUGACGCUGAGGCACGAAAGCGUGGGGAGCAAACAGG